rnacentral:rRNA from 1 species
AGAGUUUGAUCAUGGCUCAGAGUGAACGCUGGCGGUAGGCCUAACACAUGCAAGUCGAACGGCAGCACAGCAGUAGCAAUACUGUGGGUGGCGAGUGGCGGACGGGUGAGGAAUACAUCGGAAUCUACCUUUUCGUGGGGGAUAACGUAGGGAAACUUACGCUAAUACCGCAUAAGACCUUCGGGUGAAAGUGGGGGACCUUCGGGCCUCACGCGGAUAGAUGAGCCGAUGUCGGAUUAGCUUGUUGGCGGGGUAAAAGCCCACCAAGGCGACGAUCCGUAGCUGGUCUGAGAGGAUGAUCAGCCACACUGGAACUGAGACACGGUCCAGACUCCUACGGGAGGCAGCAGUGGGGAAUAUUGGACAAUGGGCGCAAGCCUGAUCCAGCCAUACCGCGUGGGUGAAGAAGGCCUUCGGGUUGUAAAGCCCUUUUGUUGGGAAAGAAAUCCUGCCGGUUAAUAACCAGUAGGGAUGACGGUACCCAAAGAAUAGCUCGCU